GUGGAUAGUGAUAGGACAAGGGGGAAUGGUUUUAAACUGAGACAGGAGAGGUUUAGGUUAGAUAUGAGGAGAAAGUUUUUCACCCAGAGGGUGGUGACGCACUGGAACAGGUUGCCCAAGGAGGCUGUGGAUGCCCCAUCCCUGGAGGCAUUCAAGGCCAGGCUGGAUGUGGCUCUGGGCAGCCUGGUCUGGUGGUUGGCCACCCUGCACAUAGCAGGGGGGUUGAAACUCGAUGAUCACUGUGGUCCUUUUCAACCCAGGCCACUCUAUGAUUCUAUGGACUAUAUUGUUAGACACGCUUUUACUCUGAGGCAGUGAAACGCUUGUGUGCUCAGAUCUGGGUCAGACAUGGAGAAAGCAAGGAAGUGGCAGAAAUGGGAGGCUUCUGAGGCAAAAAGCAUGGGCUGGGAUCCCCAUUUCAUCCACCAAAUGAGAUCCUCCGCUCUCCACCCACUCCCAGCUGUGUGAGCCAGCCAUGCUGUGCUCCCUCAGGGAGCAGCUGUGUGGGCUUGGCUGUAGCUCAUGGGUCUCUCCUGAGCGUAUUUCUGAAGGUGGUGCUGCCAGCUUUCUGGGGCAGGAGAUAUGGAGGUUUCUACCUUAGGUUUGUGGUUUAACUCUGUGCAAGGCCAAGGUUGCAGCAGGCCAUGUGGACACAGCUACAGCCUGGGCAUCUGUGUGGCCAUGCUUUGUAUGCUGAGGAGGAUGCAUGUCACUGAACUCAGUGUUCCUGUGCUUGAGAGCAAGAGAUCCUGAAAAUAAAGGAGAAUUUUCCCCUGUUGAUGUUGUGUUGUCAAGGGCCAAGGUAAGCAAUGGUACUGAAAAAGAAUAAAAGAAGAUUUUCUUUGUUUCAGGCAGGAUCUUUGCACAGUCUGUGCUGUUGGUUAUUAAGAAAGGAGUGUCUUUUUAGUACUUCAUUCUUCUAGAUAAUGAACAAUGUGUUAAGCAUCACAGCCCUUCUGAGCAGGCAGUUUUGUAGCAAUAUUGUAGCCUGUUGUCUAGUUUUGUAGUGUAGCUCCGUCCCCAUUUGGCUGCAGAAGCAGGAUUUCACAGUGUGCCCACAGUUUGGGUGCCCCUUUUCAAUAAAAUGUUCCUCUGACAUAUUCCGUGCUGUCGUUUGAUACUAUGAUAGUAUAUUCUCCUCCUCCUCCCCUGUCCCUGCUGAGGUUGCGAUAUCCAUUGAAGUUUUACUGCCAUUUGCAGUUACUUACCUUUUCCUCAGCUCUUCUUCAGUGUGGUUUCUGUUUCCCUCUAGGCUGUUGCACUAUGCCUUCAGGUCAUCAAUCUCUACGUUCCCUUCCCAGGGAGGUCAGGGAGGAUCGGACCUCAGAGGUCUCGUGGAAUUUUCUUUAACGGAGUCCGAGGUCGUGAGGCUGAAUGCAUUGUUUGAAUAUUCAUCCAGCAAGAUCUUUGGAUAGGCAACAACUGAACUCAGCUGAGUACUGCUGCUUACAGCAGUCGUGAUCAGCCUUUGUUUAUUUAACCCAGCUGUACUUGAAAGAGGCUUUGGUUGCAGGCAUAUUUGGAGGCCUGUAUAGAUUGCAGCAACACUAAUGGCAUUAUAUUAUUGCGGAAUGUCUUUAUUGCUGCUGAAUAAAAAGGUAGGCUCUAUUCUUUUCACAUAGUUACAUAAUUAAUGAGUUAUUCUAAUGACUUUUGGAUAUUAUUAUUUGGAGAAAUUAUCAGUGAAGCUGCACAAGAUCAGGAUCUGAAAAAAAUGAGACUACAGUUUUAUAGCUUAAAGAUGCAUGCUUUAGCAGUUCUGGUAGAAUGUAAGUUUAGAUUUAAGUGUGUAUAUGUAUAUAUAUCUUGAUUUCUCUAAGCAGUCCUCUCCCAAAUGUGCAGAGGUAAGAACUGCUUUCCAGAUUGUGCUGUUAGACAGCUCCAGAACUUGCCAGUGGGUGAACGCUGCCAAGCUGCAAACAAGUGAUUCUGAUAAUGCUGUGGACAGUUUCCCUCAGGCUAUUUAGAUUCUUGUGACAGAAUGGAGAAUAGUAAAAAUGCAUGUGUUCCCACUUAACUUCUUCUGAGAAGGCACGAACAGUUAUACAAGCAAGUUUACCAGUAUUCUUCACAGGGAGGGAGAAAAAGGGGCAAUCAAACAUGCAGUAAAGGAUUGAAGUCACAGGGUUAGGGAAGCUGCCUCCAAAGCAGCUGAGGAGAUGCUGGUGUAUAUAAGGUGAGGCCAUCAAGCAGGAGGCAGGCAAGGAGUUUGGGUGCUGCACAGAGAUCUAUUGUAAGAUGUAUUGGGAGGCAUCUCGGUACCUUUCCAACCUAUUAAAGGGUUGGUUGUUUGAAAACUAGAGAUACAACCACAACUGCUUAGCGAUGGUUUGAGUAUCACUGUCUGUUCCACUACAGCCAUUUAAAAAAACUAAGUGAUCAUGGUAAAAAACACAAAGAAAUGCAGUAUUUGAACAUCACUGAAGGGUAAUGCGUGUUACUCUAGAAGUCAGGCCAUGCGCCACACAGUCAAUUGUUCUGCCUCUGACUCUGGGUAAUGCUGCAGAAGAUGGAAAAACUCAUAAUGGGAGUGUGUGUAUCUGUGCAAGUACAAUUACAGAAGGAAUCAACAUGCAGUAACUUCAGAGAGAACUCUCUAGCCAGCAGAAAAUCAGUUCUGCCCAUGUGCUUUAUCACAAGAUAUCCAGAUGUGUUGUCGCACAUGGCAUAGUUUGUCUUCUUUAGAGUAUGCAGUAUAAAUGAUGCAACCACAGUUUUAGAUACUCAGCUAGCCGUGGCACACUGCCCUGAGAAAAGCUCAUUAUUCUUUGGCUUUGCUCUUCUUUUUACUUUUUAUUUAUUCAAACAGAUUACAUUCCCAUUUGGAUGGGAUUAAUUGUGGUUAAGAAGUAUUGCUGCGGUUUGUCCUGUGAAAAUGAGUGUAGUACUAAGCUGUGAGAUGCCUGUUACUUGACCUGAAACAUUGGAUUGAGUGUACGAGAGAGUCAGCAUUUGUAUCUAACUACAUUUCCUGUCCUAUAAAGGCAUGAGGCACGUUUGGGGACUUCUCAUGAACUUACUGCUCCUUUACCCCAGGGAAAACGUAGAAUUUGGGGGUUUAUUCAAAGCUUUUCUAGGAAACAGAUGUAUUCUUUCCUUGCUAUUGGGCUUCUGGUUAAUGCCAAUGAACAUAUCCAGAACAGGAUGAAGCAGCGGUGCCCAACACCUUGAAGUGAUGGGGCACACGAGAGCAAGUGACAGAUGUGUGCUGGUGUGUCUGUAGUCCUCUCCCAUCCUGUGCCACAUUGGAACACAGGCACAGUUAUUUCUUCAGAAGUCAGCAGCGUGCUCUUGACUUCAAAGACCUUAACUUUGCAUUUUCCUUAGGGUUAAAAAUAACCGAAGUACGGUAGAUGUAGUUUGCAUAUGCUUAUCUGUGCCAUUUAGGGUGGCAAAUGAGACUGUUCAUGGAGGUAGGGUUAUGCACUGGAGGUUUUAAGUUCAUUUUUCAAAGUGUGGAACAGGAUAUUUAAGCCACUGUCAAUAGUUACGCUGCUGCUACGAAUGUGAAGUAUUUUUCCUAAUUUCAUUUAACAGUUUUAUUUUGGAUACAAGUCAUUCUGUUAGUGUUGGAAACCCGUGCAUAGCUCUGUCUUUUGAGAACAGCGACUUCAAUUGACUCUCCUUGUCCCUCUGAAGGCAGAGUGUAAUGUAAACAAGAAAACACAAACCAUACAUGGUGAAAAGCUAUCUUAAUCAAUCUCUACCUCCUGAGCUCGACUACUGGAAAUCUGUACUGGGAGCCAACCUCGGUGUGAAUGCUGAGGUGGCCAGCUACAGAGCUGGGAGCAGCGGGCACCAACUGGAGCAUGGCAAGUUCCAUCCAAACACGAGGACAAAAUCUCUGUGCUGUGACAGUGACAGAACGCUGAACAGGCUGCCCAGAGAGGCUGUGGUGUCUCGUUCUCUGGGGAUAUAGAAAACCCACCAGGAUGCUUUCCUGUGUGGCCUGCUGUAGGGAAUCUGCUUUAGCAGGGGGUGAGACUUGAUCUCCAGAUGUCCCUUCUGACGCCUCUGGUUCUGUGAUUGGCACAUGGUGCAGGCUGGUGCCACCAUGUGGGGAGCAGCACGUUUCUCACAGCAACUUGAGUAGCUUUCAGUCUCCUCUAACAGGAUGUUGGAGAGUUGCUACCUGUAUAAAGGGGUCUCCUCAUGCUGAGCUUGGUCCCAGGAAGAAGAGAAGGUUUUAUUGCCUUUUUUUUUUCCAAUGUAAGGAAGCAGCCACAGAUGCAACAAGACAGCAGGUGGUAAGCCUAGAUGGCAGGUGUAAGUCUUCAGUCACAUGAAGUUGGGCUCUUUCUCCUAACUGUGUAUCCCUAACUUACAUUUGAAGUUAUUUUUAAGAGUGCAGGGUUGUGUUUGACUGACACUGCCCUCAUCAGCUCUGUCCUGCCUGGUCAUGGAGUUGCUGCUCUCUUGAUGAAAAUCACUUUGCACAAUCCUCUGGAUCUGACGUGAGGGAGAGAUGCUGACUUCGGUGAACUUUGUGUCAAACCCCUUCUGAGGAGCUAGACCAAAUUGCCCGUUCCCACAAGAAAGGAGCAUGAACUCAGCAUUCCCCUGUUCAGAGAUGACUCUGGCUCCCAAAGUACAGUUUAUUUCAUCUGUGAAUCAGCGGUAAACAUUUAGAACCAAAGCUUACCACUUUUUCAGGCUAGACCUACAGAGGAGAACUUGUUCCUUUUUCUAUUUUGAGGCUUUCUAUUUUUAUACAGCAGUGAAAAGAGCUACCUAAGUACUUAACAAGAACCUCUGAUUUCUAAAGUGCAGUUCACUCUCAGUAUCUUGGGAAUGGAGACUGUUUCCUCACAUUGAUAUUUCCAAGACUUUUCCCAUCCCUUUUAAGCCAGUGAGUAAAUUGUCUUUGUCUUUUUAAUUGCCUGUGCUGUGUCUUCAUUGUACUCCACAGCUGAAAUGAUUUCUCAGAACAGGAAACAGUUUUCUCAUGCUUGCAGUAUUUUCUUGAUAAGGAUGAACUUCUGAACUUUUCCUGGUUAUCUAUAUAUAGAUUUCUUUAAAACCUGGAAUUUGUUCAAUUCCCUGCUGUAUCUAUUACUUCUUAACAACGUUCGGAUAUAACAUGAUCAGGGUGGUAAAACUGUUGUUUACAAGACUGCAUCACUGAAAGAAGGAUGAGUCUGUGCUCUCUUUCAGAUGCUGAAAAAAGGGACUGUAAGCAUUUUAGAUGUUAUGAAGUAAGUAGCUUUUUGGAUUGCAAAUCGCAGUAUAAAGGCAUUUAAAGCCUCCUACAGUCAUUAGACUUUGUCAGCUGGGUCCGGGGAUAUCACGCAGAGCUGCAGAAAAGCAUAUUAUGGCUAAGUUUGGUAUCUGGUGAUGCAGUCCUCAGGAGAACUGUUUGAUGCUUUCCAACAACACUUUACAUUUUAAGCUGUACUCGUGAUUUGUAAAAACAUUCUGAAGAUAUGUUAGCAUUUGAAGAGAGUCAGCAGGGUUAAGAGGGCAGAAUAUAAUAACUGGGGUGAGGCUGCUGCCUGAUCGGUGUGCAUGUGCUGUAUAUAUUAAAUUGCGUAUAUGUACGUAGCUACUGAUGGACAGAGGGUACAGCACUCACACAAAGGUCAGCAUCGUAGAGGGGCUGAGCUUGCUGCUCUCCAACUGAUUAAGAAGAAAAUAAAGUACAAAAAUGUGUAUAUUGCAUAUACAAAUAUAUACAUAUAGGUAUUUGUGUAUUGUGCACAUAUGCAUGUUGCUCCAAAAGUAACGCCUCCUACUUAUUUCUAUGGAAACUACAAUGGAUAGAAAAAAACACAAUAACACUACUUGAUAGAGCAAAUUCUCAGCUACAAAACUGUUUUUCAACACAGUCACCACCAUUAGCCAGCCAGUGUAGAAGAGCUGAUUGAGGUCUCUUCAUAUUGUGUUGAAACAGCUGUGCAUGAACAGUCUGGAACGUUGCUUGUCUCUAACAUUGCUGUCAUCACAGCUGAAGCACACCACCCACACUGUGCUCACAUGCACUGUUUGGUCUCCAGAAGCAUUCAGCAAGUGUGGAUGAAUGUCAGUGGGUACCCUUUUUUCCGUACAGAGAGAUUAAGUUCCACCCCUUUGCUUCACAUGCACUUCCACAUCAGACGCCAUUUUGUCAGACUGCCCCUCUGCUGCCAUCUGUCACACGACAACC
ensembl:lncRNA